rnacentral:rRNA from 1 species
AUUGAACGCUGGCGGCAGGCCUAACACAUGCCAGUCGAACGGUAACAGGAAGAAGCUUGCUUCUUUGCUGACGAGUGGCGGACGGGUGAGUAAUGUCUGGGAAACUGCCUGAUGGAGGGGGAUAACUACUGGAAACGGUAGCUAAUACCGCAUAACGUCGCAAGACCAAAGAGGGGGACCUUCGGGCCUCUUGCCAUCGGAUGUGCCCAGAUGGGAUUAGCUAGUAGGUGGGGUAACGGCUCACCUAGGCGACGAUCCCUAGCUGGUCUGAGAGGAUGACCAGCCACACUGGAACUGAGACACGGUCCAGACUCCUACGGGAGGCAGCAGUGGGGAAUAUUGCACAAUGGGCGCAAGCCUGAUGCAGCCAUGCCGCGUGUAUGAAGAAGGCCUUCGGGUUGUAAAGUACUUUCAGCGGGGAGGAAGGGAAUAAAGUUAAUACCUUUGCUCAUUGACGUUACCCGCAGAAGAAGCACCGGCUAACUCCGUG